rnacentral:rRNA from 1 species
AGUGAACGCUGGCGGUAGGCCUAACACAUGCAAGUCGAACGGCAGCCCAGUAAGAGCUUGCUCUUACGGGUGGCGAGUGGCGGACGGGUGAGGAGUACAUCGGAAUCUACUUUUUCGUGGGGGAUAACGUAGGGAAACUUACGCUAAUACCGCAUACGACCUACGGGUGAAAGCAGGGGAUCUUCGGACCUUGCGCGAUUGAAUGAGCCGAUGUCGGAUUAGCUAGUUGGCGGGGUAAAGGCCCACCAAGGCGACGAUCCGUAGCUGGUCUGAGAGGAUGAUCAGCCACACUGGAACUGAGACACGGUCCAGACUCCUACGGGAGGCAGCAGUGGGGAAUAUUGGACAAUGGGCGCAAGCCUGAUCCAGCCAUACCGCGUGGGUGAAGAAGGCCUUCGGGUUGUAAAGCCCUUUUGUUGGGAAAGAAAAGCAGCAGGUUAAUACCCCGCUGUUCUGACGGUACCCAAAGGAUAAGCACCGGCUAACUUCGUG